rnacentral:rRNA from 1 species
UACGAAGGGGGCUAGCGUUGUUCGGAAUUACUGGGCGUAAAGCGCACGUAGGCGGAUAUUUAAGUCAGGGGUGAAAUCCCGGGGCUCAACCCCGGAACUGCCUUUGAUACUGGGUAUCUAGAGUCCGGAAGAGGUGAGUGGAAUUCCGAGUGUAGAGGUGAAAUUCGUAGAUAUUCGGAAGAACACCAGUGGCGAAGGCGGCUCACUGGACCGGCAUUGACGCUGAGGUGCGAAAGCGUGGGGAGCAAACAGG